AGAGUUUGAUCCUGGCUCAGAACGAACGCUGGCGGCGUGCCUAACACAUGCAAGUCGAGCGCGAAAGUUCCUUCGGGAAUUAGUAGAGCGGCGGACGGGUGAGUAAUACAUAGGUAAUCUACCUUCGAGUUUGGGAUAACCCUGCGAAAGCGGGGCUAAUACCGGAUAAGACCACGUAACCUUAUGUUAUGGGGUAAAAGGUGGCUUAUUUUUUAAAUGAGCUAUCACUUGAUGAUGAGCCUAUGGCCUAUCAGCUUGUUGGCGGGGUAAGAGCCCACCAAGGCUAUGACGGGUAGCUGGUCUGAGAGGACGAUCAGCCACACUGGGACUGAGACACGGCCCAGACUCCUACGGGAGGCAGCAGUGGGGAAUAUUGGGCAAUGGGCGAAAGCCUGACCCAGCGACGCCGCGUGGGCGAUGAAGGCCUUCGGGUUGUAAAGCCCUGUCAUGCGGAAAGAACGACCCUGUGACGCAUACUCACAGGGAGUGACGGUACCGCAGGAGGAAGCACCGGCUAACUCCGUGCCAGCAGCCGCGGUAAUACGGAGGGUGCAAGCGUUGUUCGGAAUUAUUGGGCGUAAAGGGCGCGUAGGCGGCAGUGUAAGUCAGAUGUGAAAUACUCUGGCUCAACCAGAGAACAGCAUCUGAAACUGCGCAGCUAGAGUACAGAAGAGGGAAACGGAAUUCCCGGUGUAGAGGUGAAAUUCGUAGAUAUCGGGAGGAACACCAGUGGCGAAGGCGGUUUCCUGGUCUGAUACUGACGCUGAGGCGCGAAAGCGUGGGGAGCAAACAGGAUUAGAUACCCUAGUAGUCC
rnacentral:rRNA from 1 species